rnacentral:rRNA from 1 species
UUUUGGACAAUGGGCGAAAGCCUGAUCCAGCAAUGCCGCGUGCAGGAAGAAGGCCUUCGGGUUGUAAACUGCUUUUGUACGGAACGAAACGGUCCUUUCUAAUAAAGAGGGCUAAUGACGGUACCGUAAGAAUAAGCACCGGCUAACUACGUGCCAGCAGCCGCGGUAAUACGUAGGGCGCGAGCGUUAAUCGGAAUUACUGGGCGUAAAAGCGUGCGCAGGCGGUUCUAUAAGACAGAUGUGAAAUCCCCGGGCUCAACCUGGGAAUGGCAUUUGUGACUGUAGAGCUAGAGUACGGUAGAGGGGGAUGGAAUUCCGCGUGUAGCAGUGAAAUGCGUAGAUAUGCGGAGGAACACCGAUGGCGAAGGCAAUCCCCUGGACCUGUACUGACGCUCAUGCACGAA